rnacentral:rRNA from 1 species
UACGUAGGGUGCAAGCGUUGUCCGGAAUUAUUGGGCGUAAAGAGCUCGUAGGCGGUCUGUUGCGUCGGCUGUGAAAACCCGGGGCUCAACCCCGGGCCUGCAGCCGAUACGGCAGACUAGAGUUCGGCAGGGGAGACUGGAAUUCCUGGUGUAGCGGUGAAAUGCGCAGAUAUCAGGAGGAACACCGGUGGCGAAGGCGGGUCUCUGGGCCGUAACUGACGCUGAGGAGCGAAAGCAUGGGGGAGCGAACAGG